GAGUGAGGGAGGGGGGCUGGGGAGAGGCGCUUUGUCAUUCAGUUGCUGCCCUGGGUCAGAUUUUCCCGCUCGCCGCCCAAACCCUUUGUUUUACGAAGAGGCAGCACUUGUGUGUAGUUACCAAAAAUCUUAACUGAGUUCAACCUAGAAAGGGAAAAAGGCCGACUGGUUCCGAAUUUUUCUGACACUCGGCCUGGAAGUGCUCUGCUUUUGCUUUUUAAAGAGAUUUGAAGAAGCCAAAGCAACCGCGACUAUAAGAAACUUAGUUUUAAAUUAAAUAUAUGGUACUGCCGUUUAGCUGAAAUCCUUCCCCAGGGCUCUUUUAUUCUCCUGUUAAAUGUGGGAGCCAGACCGUGAUCUCCAAGGCGCCUUUCAGAUCUCCGAUCUCUGACCUACAGCCAACUGGUGCAUCCCAAGAGUGAGUGUCCUAGGCAACAAAGGAAGAAGCUGCAGAUCUAAGGCCACACAAGUUACACAGAACCACUUCUGCUGCAGUUUUCUAUCUAAAAUAUAUCAGAGAACCAGCCAAAAUACAAGGGAAAGAGUAAAAGAUUCUGCCUCUUUUAGGACAGUGUCAAAGUCACAUCAAUGGAAAGAAUUUACUACACACGGCAUCUAAGGCCACCAUUGGACCCACGUUUCAACCAACCAAGCAAACCUUUAACCACUCCCAGAUGCUUAGGCAAGCAUGAUGAAUCCAUGGUCUUUGCUUUUAAGUUUGCUACUAAAAAAUUAAAAAUUAUGUAUAUGGCUCACAUUGUAUUUCUACUGGAUGGUACUGGUCUAGAGAUAUAAAGAAGUGAUAGCAGUGAAUUAUGGGGAGAAUCAGGUACUCUUCACAAGGUUAAUUCCUCAGAUGAAGUAAUUUCUGAAUUUUCAAAGAAGACAAGACCAGCUUUAUAAGAUAGAGAAGGAAGACUUCUUCAGACAGCAAAGAGCUCUUUAGGGUCUAUCAAGAUGAUAGAAUUAUCUAAGUACACUCUAACAGGUUAUUACAAUUCUCAAGAUCCAACUUCUCAAUCAAUGUCUUAAUUUUUUACCUAAAAGACCUAGUGAGUCUGUUUAUUCAACUUACCUUGGAGUUCAGUCUUUGACAGCAUUAAUAAUUGAUUUGGAUGUGUCAUCCUAGCAACCCAUAGAGAUAUAUUUCUAAGGAAAUCAUAGAAGCUCUCUGGACCUCUGAGCUUGUAACAUUUUUAAGCAUCUUAGUGCAUUAUAAACAGCAAAACCACCCCUCAAUCUUUGUAUUCUUCAUUUCUGCCAUUCCCAUGAAAGACUUCCAUCAGUAACUACUUAAUUCCUGAAGCCUACAGGCCACUUUUAAAUUCAUGUUUAAUUUAAAUUCAAUAAAGUGUGCAGAUAUUAAGUGUUCAGAAUAUGAGUUUUGACAAUUAUACACACCCAUGAAGCCACUACCUAAAACAAAAUCUAGAACAUUUACAUGAACCCAGUAAGUUUAUUUGCAUUUCUUUCCAGUCCAUUAACCAAAACUACCUUCACCCCCAUCACACAUGCAUACUCUAAGACAACCACUUUCUAACUUCUGCAAUUAGAUGUUAAUUUGCUCAUUCUUGAUUUUCAUAUACAUGCAAUCAUACAAUACAUAUUCCUUUGCAUCUGUCUCCUUUCACUCAAUACAUAUGUUUUUUUAGAUUCAUUUAUG